GGCUCAGAUUGAACGCUGGCGGCAUGCCUUACACAUGCAAGUCGAACGGCAGCGGACCUUCGGGUGCCGGCGAGUGGCGAACGGGUGAGUAAUAUAUCGGAACGUACCUUUCAGUGGGGGAUAACGUAGCGAAAGUUACGCUAAUACCGCAUAUUCUGUGAGCAGGAAAGCAGGGGGAUCGCAAGACCUUGCGCUGAUUGAGCGGCCGAUAUCAGAUUAGCUAGUUGGUGAGGUAAAGGCUCACCAAGGCGACGAUCUGUAGCGGGUCUGAGAGGAUGAUCCGCCACACUGGAACUGAGACACGGUCCAGACUCCUACGGGAGGCAGCAGUGGGGAAUUUUGGACAAUGGGCGCAAGCCUGAUCCAGCCAUGCCGCGUGAGUGAAGAAGGCCUUCGGGUUGUAAAGCUCUUUCGGCCGGGAAGAAAUCGCACGGGUUAAUACCCUGUGUGGAUGACGGUACCGGAAUAAGAAGCACCGGCUAACUACGUG
rnacentral:rRNA from 1 species